CCUACGGGAGGCAGCAGUGGGGAAUAUUGGACAAUGGGGGGAACCCUGAUCCAGCCAUGCCGCGUGUGUGAAGAAGGCCCUCGGGUUGUAAAGCACUUUCAGUGAGGAAGAACGCCUGGUGGUUAAUACCCAUCAGGAAAGACAUCACUCACAGAAGAAGCACCGGCUAACUCCGUGCCAGCAGCCGCGGUAAUACGGAGGGUGCGAGCGUUAAUCGGAAUUACUGGGCGUAAAGCGCGCGUAGGUGGCUUGAUAAGCCGGUUGUGAAAGCCCCGGGCUCAACCUGGGAACGGCAUCCGGAACUGUCAAGCUAGAGUGCAGGAGAGGAAGGUAGAAUUCCCGGUGUAGCGGUGAAAUGCGUAGAGAUCGGGAGGAAUACCAGUGGCGAAGGCGGCCUUCUGGACUGACACUGACACUGAGGUGCGAAAGCGUGGGUAGCAAACAGGAUUAGAUACUCUGGUAGUC
rnacentral:rRNA from 1 species